rnacentral:rRNA from 1 species
CAGCCGUAAACAAUGUGCGUUAGGUAUGUCGGUGACCACGAGUUACCGAGGUGCCGAAGGGAAACCGUGAAACGUGCCGCCUGGGAAGUACGGUCGCAAGGCUGAAACUUAAAGGAAUUGGCGGGGGAGCACCACAACAGGUGGAGCCUGCGGUUUAAUUGGACUCAACGCCGGGAAGCUCACCGGAUAGGACAGCAGAAUGAUUGCCGGGCUGAAGACCCUGCAUGACUAGCUGAGAGGAGGUGCAUGGCGUCAGUGACU